AUGAUCGCACUGUAUUAUGUGCAGAUGGCUAAGGGUCCGGCAGUUGACUGGACUGCUGAAUUCGCCAAACUGAGGCGACAACUUGAUGUGGCGGACGCCGACAUCGCGCUUGUGAACAAGCGACUUGACGAGUCACAGGGUAUGUGUUUUAUUUUGUAUUAUCAGCAAAUAUCAAGAGGGGUGACGGUGUCCUGGACUAGGGGGUACUCAACGCGUCGUCUCCCGAUCAGUUGGAUUGGGCCGAGGACCCCCAUGGCCGUAUACUCAUGGGCCAGUCCGGACAGCUGCUGCAUACAAUGA
rnacentral:rRNA from 1 species